CUCAGGUUUUUACACUGAGGAGACAAUACAGUGUUUACACAUGUGAGUCUGAUUUAUUUCACUUAUGAGUAUGGUCUCAAGUUGCAUUCACUUACCUAUAAAAACCUCCAGUUUAUCAUUCUAAGCUGAGUAGUAAGAAAUUCAUUGUAUAAAAAUACCACGUCUUUUUAACAUUCCUUGGUUGAUGGGCAUUUGGGUUAUUUCAAGACUUAGCUGUUAUAAACUGUGCACAUAUAUUGCUAUGGUGUGAUGUUUUUAAUUCUUCUGGGAAGAUACUCAGAAGGGGAAUACCUGGGUUGAAUGGAACCUCUAAUCCUAGUUUUUUGAGGAAUCUCCACACUGAUUUCCACAGUGGUUGCACCAGUCUGCACUCCCAGCAACAGUGGAGAAGGGUUCCUUUUCCCCACAACCCCUCCAGCAUUUGCUAUUGGUUGAUUUCUUGAUGACAGCCAUUCUUUCCAGGGUGAGAUGAGAUCUCAGGGUUGUUUUAAUUUGCAUUUCUUGAAUGACCAGUGACACUGAACAUUUUUUCAUAUAUUUAUUUCCCCUUGUAUUUCUUCAUCCAAGAUGUGUGCCUUCACCUGAAAUGCCCAUUUUUGGGUUGGGUCUUUGACUAUGGGGGACCUGACUCUUUUAUGUAAAAUUCCAAUUUUUAAAAAAUAUGGCGGAGUACUUUUUAGGCCAAAUUGUCCUUCAGGCUGACUUGUUUCCUCUCCAAGUUGUUCUCAACCAAAUCGUUUUCCUUCAAAUUGCUUUCUUUCUUAGCAAGUCAUCUGAAUUUCUCUAGAGCGCAGGCAUUUUCUGAGGCCCCCACGGUACACACAACUCUGGCAGUAACAAAGUUCUUCACUUUAAUGGAAACCUCACUGUGCUCCCUCAUCAGUAUUUAGGGCCCCUUACUGUGGAGAGUACGUCCUGCCCUGUGCUGGGCUCUGGCUCUGUUCAAGGGCAUCGUGUUCCUGGGUCAUUCGGUCUUCCCUGGGCCCCCAAGGUGCCAGGUACUGGCAUGGGCACUGGGACCUGUUAGUCUGUGCUCUGACAGAGCUCCAUUUGAAUAUCAAACAGAUAAAAGAAAGGAGAAAGUGUUGUGUCGUGAUGAGAGAAAAGGAGAUGAGCCACAGUGAGGGACACAGUGACUAGCAAGUGACACAGACGUGACUUUACAAAGCUAGAGAGGAGGCUGUUGGAUAAUGUAUGCUGAGACCUAAAUGAGCCAAGGGCACAGCUGAGGUGCAGGGAGCACAUUUUAGGCGGAGGGAGCAGAAGUGCAAAGGCCCUGCAUCUGGGCAGUCCAGGAGGGUGGCAGGGAAUAGGGGUGGGGCCAGGAGGGUGGCCAGGACCAGAUUGGGGGGCCUCGCCCCCAAGGAGCCUCGGAUGUUCCCAGCAGAUGGCAUGGACAGGGGGGGUCUGUGGUAAGGAGGGAUCUGACACCUGAUUUAAAAGGAUUGUGGGCUACAGGCAGAGCCCAGUGAGAGAGGGGAGAGCCAGUUUUGGGGCUAGAGGAGCCAGCUCAGAGAAUCUGGCGGGUCCAGCUGGCUUUGAGCAGCAGCCUAGUGGCCCGGCCCAGGGAAGCCGUCCCUCAGGCCAGUCUGUUGCUCAGGCCUCUUCCUAAGGCAAUGGAGCUGCACGCUACAGUGUCACUUCUCUCUGGACUCUGGAUCCUGAGCUGACAGCUAAGCCCUCUCCUCUUGGUCCUGAGCCUACCAGACGGAACUUUCUUCAUCUGGGGAGAAAGGGUGUUCCUUCCUGUUCCGACAGGUGACUCAGACCCAAGUCAACUUGGCCACUGCCUCUGGCCUCUGUGGAAACCCCCAGAGGAGCCCCGUUCGUCCAGGUACUUCCUGAUCAUAUGCUCUCACAGAUGCUUCUCUGGACUCUGUGCUAUUCUGUGCCUUUUGCUGGUCUGUACUUCACUGUGGCUUCUCGGAUCAAAGCUGCUAUUUGGGAAUGUGCAGUUGUCACCACCCCUGCGGUUGUGCCACGUUCACACUUGAAAUGUGAAGUCAACGCUGUCUGCCUGGAGCCCAGCUGCCCUGCUCUGGACUUGCUGCUGAAAGAUGUCUGAGCCCUGGAACACAAGGCAUCUCCUGCUGUCUUGUGAUAUGCUACAAACAAAAUACGGGCACCCUCGAGGGUCUCGGUGGCCUCUCUCCCCGCCUCUGCCACAGCUAUGCUUCCUGUGGACUGGCGGGGUUCGGGUUCGCUGGCUCUCUGAGCAGCACCUAGCUUAGGCACCGCUGGACGACGCCCCCUCCCCCACCGUCUGUGUCUGAGUUCUGUCCCCAAAUCACCCUCUUUGCCCCUCGGUGCCGUGUAGCCACUUCCUGCGCACUAUUUGUUGCUUAAAUGGCACAGUCAGAAUAACACUUUAAACAGCUUCUCCUGCUCUAAAGUAGUUUUCCUUUGCAGGCCUAUUUCUUCUCUGAGUGUUGGAGUUUUGUACUCUGAAAAUGCAGGUUAGGUGCCUGACAAUGCUCGGAGUCCCUUCCUUGGCUAGGAAAAGAAUCGGAAUCGCUUGCCUCUGCGAGUCCUGAGCAUCAGGCACCAGGCUAAACUCUGUGUGUCCUUGAUCAUCUUAUGUAACCCCCACCCCCACCCCGCAGCCUGGGGAGCAAGCUGUGUUAUUACCCUCGCUGUACAGAUUGGGGAUAUUGGCUCCAGGUCACCUAGACUGUGAGGGGCUAGAAAUCACACACUUGUCCUCCACCAGGACCAGCCCCUGGGGCAGCUAACAGUGUGGCCCACCAUGUUCUGCUCCCCAAGGCCAGCCCCGUGGUCAGAAUCACUCCAGGGCUUCAUGGUAACAGCAACAGGGUGAGGCCAGGUGGUUCGAACUUCUGCUUUAAUGGAGCGGGCCCAUCUCCACUGCCCCUGGGCAGGGUUGGGAUAGUCCCAGGUUUUAUCGUGCAACCCUGCCUGCCAUCUGAGUGGCCAGCAGGAUUGUUGGGUCCAGGGCCUUUUCUCCUUGCCCUCAUCUCUUAAUCCCUCUUGGUGACUUCUGUCCCAGACCUGUGGGUUUCCUGGAAGACUGACACUCCCUGGCCACUCUCUGGCUUGGCUGUCAUCCUCAGUGGGGCCCAAGGAGGGAGACCAGGUGCUCCUCCAAGGCACCUUCCCCUCCUCCAGGGCCUCCCUGGGUCACUCCAGCUCCAGUGGCACUGGCCAGCCCUUGUGCAUACCCUGUAUGCCCAGCUUUCCCCACUGUCGCUCAUCUAGGCCAUGGUGACUUAGUAACUGGGACUCCGUGACCUAAAAGUAAGCACUGGACACAAAUGUGACAUCACAGGGUCCACAACCCAGUGGGUGCCGUGGCGGGGGAUUUCCUCUUCCCAGAGCACAGGGCACCGAGUUAGCAAUGACAGCCUGUGAGGUCCCAGUUUUUGUGCUCCACUCACCAAAACCUAAGCCACCCCGCAGGCAACGGGAAGCCUCAUUCAAAGGUUUAAAAAGGAGAGGAUGCAAUGUAUGGGAAAGUGAUGACAACUGGACACAGCUCCUGCAAAAACGGAGGCCAGGGAGGGGUGACCAGGUCCCCAGAGCCACUCUCACUCCGCGUGGACUGCAGGUGAAGCGUCUCACCUGCCCUCGGCUUCCCGCCUGUACAGGGGGUGCCUGCUGGCACUCGCUCUCAGGGUUGAGUGUGAAGACUCCCUGGAGCCCUGGCAGAGCCCCAGCCUUGCUAAGCCCUGGGUGAAUGCAUGCUGACCACGGCUGCGACAGGGACCCACACGGCACAACAAAGAUAAUUUUUCGUCGGGCUACUGUGAACAGACAACUUCAGGAAACCUUGGAAGUAAGAUUUGUCAUUUUGUGGUGGAGGCUAUCUUUAUGUGAAAGCUGCCUUAAUAAUUAUCUACAGUUCAGCACUUCCUCUCCUCGCCGCAGUAAACAAAGGAUUCUGCUGCUUUGCUGGACAUCGCUUUCGCUGGUCCAUUUUAGAGCUCUCUACAGCUCUCAGAAGUGCAUAUCCAACUCAUUGUUGUCCAUACUGUUAAGAGAAAACAGAUGACUCAGACCACUUUUCCAAAGUAGAAAUACCAGAACAUUCCUUUUCCGUAGAAUCCUCUGGCAGUGUAACAUUAUAGUUAACUUAGAGGGCACCAUAAAAACCUUUAAGCAAUGGUUUGUGUCUCUGGGUAAGAAACAGAGGGCCAAGCUGGCCAUGGUGAUGCCUGACUGUGAUCCUAGCUGUAUGGAAGGCUGAGGCAGGAGGAUGGCAAGUUGGAACCCAUCUUGGGCAAUUUAGUGAUUUAGUGAGGCUCUAUCCCAAAAUCUAAAGAAAGUCAAAGGCCCUGAGUUCAAUCCCAGUAUUGCCAAGGAAAAAAAGCAGAAAGACACCAUUCCCUUCUCUUGGACCCUGGACACGUGCUUCCCUGGGGGACUAGGAGCACAGCCAGGAGGAUGGUAGUGCACGCCCUCACCAUGCCAGGACAGGGAGCUGAGUGUCAAAGUCAGGCUCAGGGGAGAGGGAACGCACAAGGAGGCUCAGGUUUGGUGUGUUUUGUUCCUUGAUGUGUCUUUGGCUGUGCGACACAGCUUGAUCCAGAGUAGGUGCUCAUACUGUGUCUGAUAAGUGAGUUAGCACAGGUGUCAGCAGGUUUAAGAACUGACCUGGGUGGGGCCUCUCUGCCCAGCGUGCGGUGUGGAUACUGCUCCACAAAGCCCAGCCUCCAGGCUGCAGCCACCCUGUCCCCUGGGGCUGGCCCUCUCCAGUAAACACCCUCUGUGUCCCCCCAGGGCCCAGCUCCAAUGCCACCCCAACACCCUCCAUUGCUCAGGGUGCUUUCCCGUACCACUGUAUUCCAUCUAGCUCAGCGCAUUCAACUGAGCAGGUAUCUUUACCUCCAGACCAUCAGCACUCAAAAGAUAGACACGUCUUGGUUGAAGACAUAUUGAAACACUGAAAAGACCAACAUUUCUUUAAUAAUGAAAUAAUUUAUUAUUUGUUAACAGUUGAACAAUACAUAAGUUUACAUAUACACAGCAAAGAUUCUCUAAAACAUGUAAUAGUUUCUAAAAAUGCAUGUGCUAAUUGUAGUAAAAAGCACCAUUCUCUAUGGUCUUGACACAGGAUUUACAUUGGCGUCAUAUUUACAUAAAGAAAUAAACAUCUGGAAACAAUUUCCCAUUCUUUCAUCUGCUGCUCCCCUGUUUAGGCUGUGUUUACCUUUAGGAAAAUCCCCCCACCCCCCGGUUGAUGGUUAACAGCAAUAUUCCAAGAGCACCAAUUCUAGAGGGGAAAGGCAAGUUUGGUUCUCAGGUAAAAGCGAAAAUGAAGAAUGUUCCUUUUAAUCUGCCCCCCCACAGAUGAAGACAUUGAAAUUAAACAUCUGCAUAAAUUUUAGAAUUGGGUGCCCACUAAUUCUCAUUUUAUGAUUCUGAGAGAAGACAGACUCAAUUUUUAGCUAUCCAAUAGCUGAAUCUAGCAGUGGCAAUUAUUUCUUCUUCCCCCAAAAUAUAAGUUAAUUAUCCAUGUAAUAAAUAUUGAUGACAAAAAUCAUGAUAAGUCACAUAUUGCACCCACCCCAACCCAGUAUCUUUAAAAACAAAACUUCCUACAGUCUACAGAGAUCUGACCACGUAAAAUGAGAAAAACCACUUCAUCUGAAAGAGUCUUUGGGUUGUCUUCUCCCAGGAAGGAUUUUUGAGUCAGGAGUAGCCAGCUACCACCACAUGCUGCAUCAAAGAGACAGAAAACUAACGGAUUGACAUGCAGGAAAUUGCCUUUCGGCUUUUCACUACCUGGCGUUCAACACAGAGGGCAGGACAGGAGGGGAGACAAAGAAACUUGAGGGACACCAGUAAAGAAGAAACAGAAAAAGACCAAGAUUUGGGGGAAUAAAUAGUUACAAAGCACAAUGAAAGUGAUAUUCUUGCCAAUACAGCAUGGUACAAAAGCCUAACUAGUAAUGUGCAUAUAUCUGUGCUUUUUCAAAAAUAAGUUCUCUCUUUACAGGAUGGGGAAGAAGGCAAGAGAAAAAAGUCCAGAAAAUCCAUGAUCAAGCCCCAAGAUAUUGCUAAAGGUUACUUCGAACAUCUUAUCUAUCUAGUUUACCUUUUUUUUUUUUUGUUCCCCAGACCCCAGGAUU